rnacentral:rRNA from 1 species
GGCUCAGGACGAACGCUGGCGGCGUGCCUAAUACAUGCAAGUAGAACGCUGAGGACUGGUGCUUGCACUGGUCUAAGGAGUUGCGAACGGGUGAGUAACGCGUAGGUAACCUACCUCAUAGCGGGGGAUAACUAUUGGAAACGAUAGCUAAUACCGCAUGACAAUAGGGUACACAUGUACCCUAUUUAAAAGGGGCAACUGCUUCACUAUGAGAUGGACCUGCGUUGUAUUAGCUAGUUGGUAAGGUAACGGCUUACCAAGGCGACGAUACAUAGCCGACCUGAGAGGGUGAUCGGCCACACUGGGACUGAGACACGGCCCAGACUCCUACGGGAGGCAGCAGUAGGGAAUCUUCGGCAAUGGGGGGAACCCUGACCGAGCAACGCCGCGUGAGUGAAGAAGGUUUUCGGAUCGUAAAGCUCUGUUGUUAGAGAAGAACGGUAAUGGGAG